rnacentral:lncRNA from 1 species
AUGAAUAUGUCACUAAAAGAGUUUGGAAAUCUUUUUGAUGGAAUAUUACAUGAUAUAAUUGUUAAGUAUCAUUUAGCAAUUUCAUUGCAUAAUUCAAAGAUUACAUUAGAUAACGGAAUACAAAUUAAUUUUGACAAGGAAAAAUACGACAAUGCUGCUAUAAAAAGAACUGUCUGGAAAAAUUUUUCAGGAGGUAUAGGAAAUAUAAAUAAAGGCAGGGCCACAAACAGAUUUCCAGUUCAAUUGCUGUCAUGAUGAUGCUAAGACAGUUUAUUUAAUAGAAGACAAAGUUAUUCCACCCCUAUCCGAGGUUAUUACAGUAGCGAAAGUCAUGGGAAUUAGACAGAAAAAUCAGAUAGGCGUGAUAGAAUCAGAAAAUUUAGAUGAAUCUGACCUAAUCACAAUGGAUGUGCUAGUUAAAACUAAAUCAAAAGGUACAGUUCUCAUUAGAAUCAUAAAUAUUACGACUAAUUCAGUAAAAUUAAAUAAAUGAGAAUUGGUAGGAAAGUUCGUACAGGCAGCGGAAGAGUCAAAGGAAAAAACCAAGAGCGACAAGCCAAUAAGGACUGACGC